GAUGAACGCUGGCGGCGUGCCUAAUACAUGCAAGUAGAACGCUGAAGGAAGGAGCUUGCUCUUUCCGGAUGAGUUGCGAACGGGUGAGUAACGCGUAGGUAACCUGCCUGGUAGCGGGGGAUAACUAUUGGAAACGAUAGCUAAUACCGCAUAACAGUAGAUGUUGCAUGAUAUCUACUUAAAAGGUGCAAUUGCACCACUACCAGAUGGACCUGCGUUGUAUUAGCUAGUUGGUGAGGUAACGGCUCACCAAGGCGACGAUACAUAGCCGACCUGAGAGGGUGAUCGGCCACACUGGGACUGAGCCACGGCCCAGACUCCUACGGGAGGCAGCAGUAGGGAAUCUUCGGCAAUGGACGGAAGUCUGACCGAGCAACGCCGCGUGAGUGAAGAAGGUUUUCGGAUCGUAAAGCUCGGUUGUAAGAGAAGAACGAGUGUGAGAGUGGAAAGUUCACACUGUGACGGUAUCUUACCAGAAAGGGACGGCUAACUACGUG
rnacentral:rRNA from 1 species